AUCGUGAGUAUAUGUUAUUUUGUAAAAAAUACAUUGCAAAUUACACUUGAAAUUUUAAAAUAUUAGAAACUACCGGUGCAAACUCCACUCAACAGAAUCCGACUGCUGCUUGAACUUGACUGAAGAUUUUACUCACGUUUAUAUUUGACCUUUCAUCUGCAUCUCGUUUUUCUACAUUCAAGAAUAAAUGAAUUGUAAUAAAAAUUAUUCGUGGGCAAGUGUUUAACAAAAGAAUUUAUUUUAUGCUAUACGUGAUAUUUAAACUUGAUGAUUGUAAUUUGUUUGAAAUCAAAAGAUGAAUUUCGAAAUUGUAAUUGUAAUUGUAAAACAAAAAAAAAAA